rnacentral:tRNA from 1 species
GCCGAGGUACCCAAGUGGUCAACGGGAGCAGACUGUAAAUCUGUUGGCUUUAUGCCUUCCUAGGUUCGAAUCCUAGCCUCGGCA